CGUGUAGGCGGAUAUAUAAGUCAGAAGUGAAAUCCAAUAGCUUAACUAUUGAACUGCUUUUGAAACUGUAUAUCUGGAAUGUGGGAGAGGUAGAUGGAAUUUCUGGUGUAGGGGUAAAUCCGUAGAGAUCAGAAGGAAUACCGAUUGCGAAGGCGAUCUACUGGAACAUUAUUGACGCUGAGACGCGAAAGCGUGGGAGCAAACA
rnacentral:rRNA from 1 species